GUGGGUACAGCUCAGUGGUAGAGUGCAUGCUUAGCAUGCAUGAGGUCCUGGGUUCAACUUCCAGUACCACCA
rnacentral:tRNA from 1 species